rnacentral:rRNA from 1 species
CUGCAUGAAGUCGGAAUUGCUAGUAAUCGCAGAUCAGCAUGCUGCGGUGAAUACGUUCCCGGGCCUUGUACACACCGCCCGUCACACCAUGGGAGUCGGUAACACCCGAAGUCGGUAGUCUAACCGAAAGGAGGACGCCGCCGAAGGUGGGAUUGAUGACUGGGGUGAAGUCGUAACAAGGUAUC